rnacentral:rRNA from 1 species
GACGAACGCUGGCGGCGUGCCUAAUACAUGCAAGUCGAACGCUGAAGGAGGAGCUUGCUUCCCUGGAUGAGUUGCGAACGGGUGAGUAACGCGUAGGUAACCUGCCUGGUAGCGGGGGAUAACUCUUGGAAACGAUAGCUAAUACCGCAUAAUAUUGACUAUUGCAUGAUAGUCAGUUGAAAGGUGCAACUGCACCACUACCAGAUGGACCUGCGUUGUCUUAGUUAGUUGGUGGGGUAAUGGCUCACCAAGGCGACGACACUUAGCCGACCUGGGAGGGGUAUCCGCCCCACUGGGAAUGGGACACGGCCCAGAAUCCUACGGGAGGCAGCAGGAGGGAAUCUUCGGCAAAGGACGGAAGGCUGACCGAGGAACGCCGGGGUGGGGAAGGAGGUUCUCGGGUCGUAAAGAUCGGUUGUAAGGGAAGAACGAGUGUGGGAGUGGAAAGCUCACACUGUGACGGUACCUAAUCAGAAAGGGACGGCUAACUACGUG